UACAGGGGGGGCAAGCGUUGUUCGGAAUUACUGGGCGUAAAGGCGUGUAGGCGGCCAACUAAGUCCGACGUGAAAUCCCCAGGCUUAACCUGGGAACUGCGUCGGAUACUGGAUGGCUUGAAUCCGGGAGAGGGAUGCGGAAUUCCAGGUGUAGCGGUGAAAUGCGUAGAUAUCUGGAGGAACACCGGUGGCGAAGGCGGCAUCCUGGACCGGCAUUGACGCUAAAGCGCGAAAGCCAGGGAGCAAACGGG
rnacentral:rRNA from 1 species